rnacentral:rRNA from 1 species
UACGAGAGGCCCAAACGUUAUUCGGAUUUACUGGGCUUAAAGAGUUCGUAGGCGGUCCGUCAAGUGGGGUGUGAAAGCCCUCGGCUCAACCGAGGAAUUGCGCUCCAAACUGUCGGGCUCGAGGGAGAUAGAGGUGAGCGGAACUGAUGGUGGAGCGGUGAAAUGCGUUGAUAUCAUUUGGAACGCCAAUGGUGAAAACAGGUAGCUGGGAGUGUGCUGACGCUGAGACACGAAAGCCAGGGGAGCGAACGGG